rnacentral:rRNA from 1 species
CUGCCACCGUAAGGUGAGAGGAAGUGGGGAUGACGUCAAAUCAGCACGGCCCUUAUGUCCAGGGCUACACACGUGUUACAAUGGUCGGUACAGAGGGCAGCUACCUGGUGACAGGAUGCUAAUCUCGAAAACCGGUCUCAGUUCGGAUCGAAGUCUGCAACUCGACUUCGUGAAGCUGGAUUCGCUAGUAAUCGCGCAUCAGCUAUGGCCGCGUCCGAUACGUUCCGGCCUU